CAUUUAGGUACAGAGAAUAGAUAAAGCAUUUUCAUAUAGAAAAUAGUCGUGGUGGUGCUUGCACUGCAUGCAUACUCUUCUAAGCUGAUGGUGUGAAGACCUCUAAGUUGGUGCUGACAUCAUGGUGAAAAGAUGAAGCAUGGGUAGUCUUCUCUGUUUCACUUGGCUUGAGGAAUGGGUACUGGGAUUAAUUACUUCGGAAAAUCUGCAAAAAUUGGCUCAUGUCACUGUUAAGGGCUGUCCCAAUGUGGUUAUAAGAUAAAUUUACUGAAAGGCUCUUUCAUGUGUUCUGAACAAAUCAUCCCUGAAACUAUGGUUGUGGACUUGUGGCAGUGAGCCUAAGAAGUUGUUUACUAUCAAGUAUACUUGGUAGUUGGCUUGGCUGAAAAGGUAAAGCUAGUUAAUCUCAGUUUGCAAGCAGCCACAAUGUUGAAGUCUGUGGUACAUGCAUCGUCAUUUACUCACAUAUGAAAUUUCCAAGUUUGUCUUUUACGCCUUUGUAGUCUUCUAAUUUCCUGCCUGCAUAUCACCUAAUAUAUCAUAAUCUUGAGUGUAAAAUACACUCGUGUCCUCUUAACUAACCUCUUGCUUAAGGUCCACAUAUGAAACUAUCCUCUUUUCAAGUGCUCACGUGGGCAAUCAAGAACCCAACUAUUUCAUUAUUCUGAAUUUUUGCCUGGAGUCAUGUCCGUACCAGGAAUCCAAGUUCCAAUAACUGCAUGCUGUUGUGAUGAGCUGAACCCAGACCUCCCUCGCGAUGAGCAUGCGCCGCAUGCUCUGUGUUUGGUACUGGAGGGGGAGCAUGUGAUGGACAUGCUAUGGGACCAAAACAUUCUGUUCCAGGCUCCCUGCCUUGACUGCACUGUGCUCUCUUUUGUAGCGAUAGUUCCUGGCAAUAUCACCUCUUUCGGGUCAUUUUCCAACAGCCACUUUUUCAAUAAAUUCCAAGUGACCAAACUUUUUCUGACUAUUUUCAGCAAGUUUUGUGAUGCCUAUUGAAUCUUUUUAUGUUUUUAACCAUAAAUAAACUCAAACUGGUUUUCAACCUUAGCGGGCAUGUGAGAAUGUUAAGUGCCAGUGUUAGAGUGUUAGAAUUACAUUUUUGAAAGAAUUAAGUUCUUUAGUUGGAUAUUCUCACACAUUGACAAAUCUUUAUAUAUGUUGAGUCUGAUACCUACAAAUAGGGUUCUAGUAUAUAUUGAAUAAACAAGUUAUCAAAGUAUCCCUUCCUUUUUCUUAUUUUUCACAUUAGACUUUUCUCUUAGAUGUAAAUAUCUUCCUCAGCUGCUACAUCGUAGUACCAUUAUAUCUUUUUUAGCAAACUAAACUAGUAAACUUAUUUAUUGACGUGUUAUUCAUAACUUAUCAACUAGAUGAGAUCCACAGUAGUUGGGAUCCAUUUGUGCUUAUCACUGAUUCAUUUACUCCCUCUCCUGGAGUGGUUGUCCUAUUUUUCUUUCUGAUAUUCAAGUGAUAUAAUCUUUGGCUAAUAAUUCUCACAAUAAUUUUCUUCAGUGUUAAGUUGGAAAACUUACAUUUAUCUGUAUUCUUUUUCGUAAAUUCUAAAUGUCUGAAUGUCAUUUAAAUAAGAAUUUUUUAUAAAUCCACUUAACUCAAUCUAAAGUAUAAUCAUAUAAUUGUAACAAAUAUUAUUAAGGGAAAACAGGAAGAUAACUUCUACUUAUUAUAUGAGAUCCACUGGUGUCAGAGCCUACUUGUGCCUGUACCAAGGUCUCGAUUGGGAAGUUGAUGAGUUCCUUAUGUGCAAGAUAACUAAAGCUAUUCAUGAUCUUAUCUUAUGGAAUGCCGUGUCUAAACAAUGCCUUUUGAGGCUCUAGUAGCUAAAGUAAAUAUGGAGGAGCUCUUGUUUGCCUGUUAUGUUUGGAGCCUCCUGGUCAUCUCUAUGGUGCAUUCACUCUAGGCUCUAACACUGUUAACUCACUAGGAGCCUGAGUAUUCUGUGGCUUGAAGGUUUCUAGCCAGAUUCGUCCCUGGAGGCCUUCUAAGCCACUGUCUCGACUUCUGGACGUAGAGAACAUUUAGUCGAGUAUCAGCAACUGGUGAUAAAACCUAUUCCCAGUUCGAUCUUGAUCAGUCAUUUUUUCAGAAAUGGUAGUCAACGCAAUCUGAUGUGUCUGAACAUUCUCCAACAUCCAGAUCAUGCUCUUGCUUUCACCUCUUCGAAAGGACGUAACAUAUUCCCAAUCCUAGCGGCAGCCGGUGCUUUCUUUGGUAAAGUAUUCCACAGAGUAUCGAAGUAACAAAAAGUUGUUUCUUUCAUGAGCUUCCUUACUGUACUCUAACUCUGUCAUUUGAUGUCUCUCAACCCUGCUCUCAUUUCUGCUUAUACUACUUUUCCAGCUUAUUUCACUUUAAUGCCUCCACAUGCUUUUUAGAUGGCUUUGCGAACUUGAACUUCUUAGUAUUUACUAGUGUUUUUCAGUCGAAUUAUGCAUGCCAUGGAAGUCUUAUAGCUGAGAGAGACUGCAACAUGAUAAUUACACCUAAGUUCUUUGGCUUGAAGGGAUCUUUUAUGCUUGAACUUCAAGUUGAGUAUAAAAUAUUCUCACGGUGAAGUCUUGCUAUGGUUUCUCCAUGGAAUUAUGCAUGUCAUGACCAACUUAUAGCUGAGCAAGACUGCAGCAUGAUAAUUACACCUAUGUUCUUUGGCUUGAAGGGUGUCUUUAUGUGUGAACUUCUAGCAAGAGACCAUUCAGACUUUAUCUGCCGCAUGAAGGAUUAUAUAUCUCGGCAAGAAUUCAUAAAUAGAACCAUAUCUGCACUUGACAGCCACUUUUCUGUGACUUCUCUGGAGCUUAAAUCAUAUGACUGUCCUGAUGACACGAAAUGUAUGCCCUCCUCUAGACUGCUGGGAAAACAAGAACUGGAGGAAAGUUUUGAGUCUGAAUCUGGGAAUGUCAUACUUCAGUCACUGUAACUGCUACAAGAUAAGAAGACCUUCGCUUGAGGUGCUACUGUAUGUCAAUGUACCUUAAUUGGUUAUUCGUCGAGGAAUAAUUUUCCCUUUUUCCAUGAGAGUAUUUUUGUUGGAUUGGGCUCCUAAUCUGGUUGUGGUUGCCUACCUCCAACUCAUUCAUGUUGCUACUUCCUCGGAUAAAAAUUCUAGGAGGAAGUGCUACCUUUUACCAUUGUGCGUUACAGGGGGCAUAAUUAAGUCCUUGUUUGUAAGCACAUCGAUUGAGCGUUUACAUUAUUAAUUCACAGGACAAACCACCAUCUUUACAGAUA